UUAAAUUGAAGAGUUUGAUCAUGGCUCAGAUUGAACGCUGGCGGCAGGCCUAACACAUGCAAGUCGAACGGUAACAGGAAACAGCUUGCUGUUUCGCUGACGAGUGGCGGCGGGGGGAGUAAUGGCUGGGGACAGGCGUGACGGAGGG
rnacentral:rRNA from 1 species